AGCGAACGCUGGCGGCAGGCUUAACACAUGCAAGUCGAACGCCCCGCAAGGGGAGUGGCAGACGGGUGAGUAACGCGUGGGAAUCUACCCAUCCCUAGGGGAUAACACAGAGAAAUUUGUGCUAAUACCCUAUACGUCCUCCGGGAGAAAGAUUUAUCGGGGAUGGAUGAGCCCGCGUUGGAUUAGCUAGUUGGAGGGGUAAUGGCCGACCAAGGCGACGAUCCAUAGCUGGUCUGAGAGGAUGACCAGCCACACUGGGACUGAGACACGGCCCAGACUCCUACGGGAGGCGGCAGUGAGGAAUAUUGGACAAUGGGCGCAAGCCUGAUCCAGCCAUGCCGCGUGAGUGAUGAAGGCCUUAGGGUUGUAAAGCUCUUUCACCGAUGAAGAUAAUGACGGUAGUCGGAGAAGAAGCCCCGGCUAACUUCGUGCCAGCCGCCGCCGUAACAC
rnacentral:rRNA from 1 species